UACGGAGGGUGCAAGCGUUAAUCGGAAUUACUGGGCGUAAAGCGUGCGCAGGCGGUUUUGUAAGUCUGUCGUGAAAUCCCCGGGCUUAACCUGGGAAUGGCAUUCGGGACUGCAAGGCUGGAGUGCGGCAGAGGAGACUGGAAUUCCUGGUGUAGCAGUGAAAUGCGUAGAUAUCAGGAGGAACACCGAUGGCGAAGGCAGGUCUCUGGGCUGACACUGACGCUCAUGCACGAAAGCGUGGGGAGCAAACAGG
rnacentral:rRNA from 1 species